rnacentral:rRNA from 1 species
GGUCCCAAGGGUUCGGCUGUUCGCCGAUUAAAGUGGUACGUGAGCUGGGUUUAGAACGUCGUGAGACAGUUCGGUCCCUAUCUGCCGUGGGUGUUGGAGGCUUGAGAGGAUCUGUCCCUAGUACGAGAGGACCGGGAUGGACAUACCUCUGGUGUACCGGUUGUCGCGCCAGCGGCACAGCCGGGUAGCUAUGUAUGGAAAAGAUAACCGCUGAAAGCAUCUAAGCGGGAAACUUACCUCAAAACUAGGCCUCCCAGAGGGUCGUGGUAGACCACCACGUUGAUAGGCCGGGUGUGGAAGUGCAGUAAUGCACGCAGCUAACCGGUCCUAAUAACCCGAUAGAGUUCAACUAUACCACUCAA